AUUGAACGCUGGCGGCAGGCCUAACACAUGCAAGUCGAACGAGCGGCGGACGGGUGAGUAAUGUCUGGGGAUCUGCCUGAUGGCGGGGGAUAACUACUGGAAACGGUAGCUAAUACCGCAUACCAUCGGAUGUGCCCAUAUGGGAUUGGCUAGUAGGUGGGGUAACGGCUUACCUAGGCGACGAUCCCUAGCUGGUCUGAGAGGAUGACCAGCCACACUGGAACUGAGACACGGUCCAGACUCCUACGGGAGGCAGCAGUGGGGAAUAUUGCACAAUGGGCGCAAGCCUGAUGCAGCCAUGCCGCGUGUAUGAAGAAGGCCUUCGGGUUGUAAAGGACUUUCAGCCGGGAGGCGUUACCCGCAGAAGAAGCACCGGCUAACUCCGUGCCAGCAGCCGCGGUAAUUC
rnacentral:rRNA from 1 species